rnacentral:rRNA from 1 species
UACGUAGGGGGCAAGCGGUUGUCCGGAUUUAUUGGGCGUAAAGAGCGGUGUAGGCGGCCUGAAAGGUCAGCGUGAAAACUCGAGGCUCAACCUCGAGACGUCGGUUGAAACCAUCUGGCUAGAGUCCGGAAGAGGAGUGUGGAAUCCCGGUGUAGCGGUGAAAUGCGUAGAGAUCGUGAGGAAGACCAACGGCGAAGGGCAGCUCUCUGGA